rnacentral:rRNA from 1 species
UGGGGAAGUAUUGCGCAAUGGGCGAAAGCCUGACGCAGCGACGCCGCGUGAGGGAUGAAGGUCUUCGGAUCGUAAACCUCUGUCAGCAGGGAAGAAAUUUUUAGUGUGCUAAUCAGCAUUAAAUUGACGGUACCUGCAAAGGAAGCACCGGCUAACUCCGUGCCAGCAGCCGCGGUAAUACGGAGGGUGCGAGCGUUAAUCGGAAUUACUGGGCGUAAAGCGCUCGUAGGUGGUAUGUCAAGUCAAGGGUGAAAUCCCCGCGCUCAACGUGGGAACUGCCUUUGAAACUGGUAGACUUGAGUGUGUGAGAGGAUAGUGGAAUUCCAGGUGUAGGAGUGAAAUCCGUAGAUAUCUGGAGGAACAUCAGUGGCGAAGGCGACUAUCUGGCACAUAACUGACACUGAGGGAGCGAAGCGUGGGUAGCAAACAGGAUUAGAUACC